rnacentral:rRNA from 1 species
GGCAGCGCGGGAGCAAUCCUGGCGGCGAGUGGCGAACGGGUGAGUAAUACAUCGGAACGUGCCCAAUCGUGGGGGAUAACGUAGCGAAAGCUACGCUAAUACCGCAUAAGAUCUACGGAUGAAAGCGGGGGAUUCGCAAGAACCUCGCGCGAGUGGAGCGGCUGAUGGCAGAUUAGGUAGUUGGUGAGGUAAAGGCUCACCAAGCCUUCGAUCUGUAGCUGGUCUGAGAGGACGACCAGCCACACUGGGACUGAGACACGGCCCAGACUCCUACGGGAGGCAGCAGUGGGGAAUUUUGGACAAUGGGCGAAAGCCUGAUCCAGCAAUGCCGCGUGCAGGAUGAAGGCCUUCGGGUUGUAAACUGCUUUUGUACGGAACGAAAAGGUCUGCCCUAAUACGGCGGGCCCAUGACGGUACCGUAAGAAUAAGCACCGGCUAACUACGUGCCAGCAGCCGCGGUAAUACGUAGGGUGCGAGCGUUAAUCGGAAUUACUGGGCGUAAAGCGUGCGCAGGCGGUUAUGUAAGACAGUUGUGAAAUCCCCGGGCUCAACCUGGGAACUGCAUCUGUGACUGCAUAGCUAGAGUACGGUAGAGGGGGAUGGAAUUCCGCGUGUAGCAGUGAAAUGCGUAGAUAUGCGGAGGAACACCGAUGGCGAAGGCAAUCCCCUGGACCUGUACUGACGCUCAUGCACGAAAGCGUGGGGAGCAAACAGGAUUAG